ACACUUACCUGGAGGAGUACGGGGCCUACCUUUUCUGCCCGGAAGGGACCCCCAAAAUGGUUCAAAACAGCGUGUCGAAGGCCAGCCGAGCAAAGGUGUUCCUGAAAUACCUGACGCUCGGCUGGCCUUCGAUCAAAUAUUGGAGUUGGGAGUUUUUGUUCAACAUCCCCCUCAUAAAGACCUACCCUGCUGCCCUGAGAGCGGCUGGCCUGGCCCCGACAACCAUCGUGUUAUACGUGGGCCAGGCCAUCUCCUUUUUGGAAUAUUUCCGGGACACCCCAGCUAAAUACUCCCGGGUGACCAACGGCCAGCUGGUCAUGGUCACCCGGGAGUUAAGGAAGCUAUUGAAGGACUUGAACCGGAACGUCCUUGGCCACCAGUCCCUGGUGAAACAGGGCAAACUAUUGAGACUGGUGGCCAAGGAGGACCUGGCCAAGUGCCAGGUGAUGGCCAAAGAAAAGAUCCCCUCUCUCCUCGCGGACAUGAAAGCGGCGCCCCCCAGGGACCCAAAGACCCGGUACCGGUUCUUUGGGUACCUGGUGGCCUACCUUUCCUCAAUCUACGGGCACAGGUCGGGGGUGCUGACCCGGAUGAGGGUCAGGGAGGUGCAGGACGCGAUCGGGGACGAGGACAAGGGCUACCUCAUUAAUGUCAUGGAGCACAAGACGGUGCGUAAAUUUGGGGUGGCCCAGGUGUACCUCGAGGCCGGCGAGUACGCCUGGUGCCGGGAGUGGCUCCGCCUGCGGCUGCGCUCCGUGCCACAAAACAAGUUUUUUUUUACGUCCUUCGGCAAGGGGGAGCCGAAGGACCUGAUUAAAUAUUUUCGACGAGCUUGGGGGGAGAUGGGCCUCCCCGGCUCCCCGAGUCUAAUGGACAUCAGGUCGGCCGUGGCCACAUACAACUUUGAGACCAACGACGCCGAGGUACGCAGGAGCCUAGGGGACUUCAUGUGCCACGACAUCAGGACCCAGGAGCGCUUCUACGCGCUCCAUAAGAACCUUUCAAGGGCGAAGCAGAUGAGGGACCUCUUCGUCCGCCUUGCGCAGCGAGAGCCCUCAUCUGCUUCCUCCUCCUCCGAUCCUGCUGCAGGCUCCUCCUCCUCCUCCGCUCCUGCUGCAGGCUCCUCCUCCUCCGCUCCUCACGCAGGCUGCUCCUCCUCCUCCUCUGCUCCUGCUGCAGGCUCCUCCUCCUCCCCCGCUGCUCCUGGCUCCGUGAGGAGGAGGCUUCGGCCAUCUGCCACGCAGAGGAUGGCCCAGAGGGUGAAGGAGAAAAGGGGGAUUUCUCCAAAAAAGAGUUGCCGCGUGUUCAUCAAGAGACUGUGAACCCUUCCUGACCCCAGUUCACUUGCCUGUUCACUUGUAUAUACUGUAGUAGUUCAUUUGUUCAUCUUGUUUCAUGUUCAUGUUCAUGUUGUUGUUUCAUUUGUUCAUAUUUAUUUAUGUUCUGUUCUGUUCUUUUUUCUAAUAAGUAAAA
ensembl:lncRNA